GUGAGGAAUAUUGCGCAAUGGAGGCAACUCUGACGCAGCCAUGCCGCGUGCAGGAAGAAGGCGCUACGCGUUGUAAACUGCUUUUAACCGGGAAGAAACCCCAGGACGUGUCCUGGGUUGACGGUACCGGAGGAAUAAGCACCGGCUAACUUCGUGCCAGCAGCCGCGGUAAUACGAAGGGUGCAAGCGUUAUCCGGAUUCAUUGGGUUUAAAGGGUGCGUAGGCGGGGCGUUAAGUCAGUGGUGAAAUCCUGCAGCUUAACUGUAGACUUGCCAUUGAUACUGGCGCUCUUGAGUGCGCUUGAAGUGGGCGGAAUGUGCCGUGUAGCGGUGAAAUGCUUAGAUAUGGCACAGAACACCAAUUGCGAAGGCAGCUCACUAAGGCGAUACUGACGCUGAGGCACGAAAGCGUGGGGAUCGAACAGGAUUAGAUACCCCAGUAGUCC
rnacentral:rRNA from 1 species